UGGAAGGAAGCUUAAUUUACCAGAAAAAGUAAAAAUUUUUUUAUGGCUUGCGCUCAGACAUCAACGGCAUACAGAAGAGAUUCUUGCUAAGAAAGGAUGGCAGGUUAGUGAUGGAUGUGUGAUAUAUGGAAAAAGAACUGAAACGAUCUCCCAUCUACUAAUUAGGUGCCUAUUUGUCCAUAAUUUAUGACAAUAAUUAAAGUGCAGUUAAAUCUGAGAGGAUGGUCUACCAAUUUUAGUGAUAUGUGGACCAAAUGGAGAAAUAGAAAAUUUCAACAACCAAUGAAAAAAGCUGCGGAUCGGUUAAUUGCUGCUAUCUAUUGGGAAAUAUGGAAGGAGCGAAAUGCUCGGAUUUUUUUAAGAAAUCAAGUUCUAUUCAUUGUGUUUUGCAGAGAAUCAUAUCAACCUUCUUCAACCGGAAGUAUUUGUGUUCAGAGAAGUUGUUGGAUCCUCAUCUCAAACUUGAAAAUAACCUCAUAGCAUUGACGCUGCACGUUGAGAGACGUUGAUCUAUCUUUUUAGAAAAGGC
rnacentral:lncRNA from 1 species